rnacentral:rRNA from 1 species
GAACGGGAAGGUGGGGAUGACGUCAAGUCAGCAUGGCCUUUAUAUCCUGGGCUACACACACGCUACAAUGGGAAGGGACAAUAGGUUGCGAAACCGCGAGGUGGAGCCAAUCCAGCAAAACUUCCCUCAGUUCAGAUUGCAGGCUGCAACUCGCCUGCAUGAAGUUGGAGUUGCUAGUAAACGCAGGUCAGCCAUACUGCGUUGAAUACGUUCCCGGGGCUU